CGUGAGUCGUGCUUUUGCUCCUCCUUUGCCUUCUGCCAUGAUUGUGCGGCCUCCCAGGCAGCUCAUCAGUAGUGUCAUACACAUUUUUAGGAUUAUUGUCAAAUUUGGGAAAGCCUCUAUCAAGAUAUUAUUUCUGGCCUGCAACUUCAUGUUACAAUGCCUGGAAGCGGAAGGACAGCAGAGCUUGUUGAUGGAGAGCAUCCGGUCGGCCUCCUGGUACACGUGGCAGGGCUGAGACGGUGGCAAGUGAAUAUGGGGCUGGGGCUGGAAGACAUCCGGGGCAGAUGACGGUAAGUGCUAUGGUGAAAAAUAAAGUAGGAAAGAGAGACAAGGAGGAAAUACGGUAAGGGACUGACAUUUUGAAAUAGGGGGCUCAGAGGAGGCCUAAAUCAACAAGAUUGUGAUAUUUAAGCAAAGACUUGGAGGCUGAGGAAUCUGAGGAAAGAGUAUUUCAGGCAAGGGAAUGCAGAUGACAAGUCUCUGAAGCAAAACAUUCCCUUGGGGCUGGAAUGGAGUCCAGCUGCAGCCACAGCGGGGAUGAAAGCAGUCAGCGAACUGCCCCAAGUGGGGCAGCUUCUGUGACCCCUCCACUUUGGGGUCUGAGUGGGCACUGCUCCUACCUGUUCUCUGCCUGUGAGCACCUGGGAGAGACUCUUAGGGUGUAAGUGAGGAGGGGUGGUAGUGGGGCUCUAUCUUUUGUGCCAUGACCCUGAAGAAAAGAACCUUUGUCCUUUUGAAAUGGCAUCGUUUGUGUGGGAUAAAACUUGAGGUUCAUUGUCUAAUGCCAAGGAAAUCGAGGAUGCCGACAAACACAAGGAGUGAGUUUAAGAGUAGAGGCUUAAUAGGUGAAAGAGAAAAGAGAAAAGCUCUGUCUCCUGCAGAGAGAGAUGGGUUUCCGAGUGGGUCUUCCAGUUUUGUGGUGAAAUGCACGGGGUUUUAUAGACGAGCUUGAGGAUGCGGUGUCUGCUUUACAUAGGGCCUGAGAUAUUGGUAGGACCAGGUGUGCUGUUUGCAUAGCACACGAAGAAACUGG
rnacentral:lncRNA from 10 species